rnacentral:pre_miRNA from 1 species
GUAGUACUCCCUCCGUCCGGAAAUACUUGUCAUCAAAAUGAAUAAAAGGGGAUGUAUCUAGAUGUAUAUUAGUUCUAGAUACAUCUUUUUAUCCAUUUUGAUGACAAGUAUUUUCGGACGGAUGGAGUACUUG